UCUUCGGACAUUGAGACCGGCGCACGGGUGCGUAACGCGUAUGCAACCUACCUUCAACAGGGGGAUAGCCCAGAGAAAUUUGGAUUAAUACCCCAUAGUGUUUUAGUGUGGCAUCACAUUAUUACUAAAGUUCCAACGGUUGAAGAUGGGCAUGCGUCCCAUUAGCUAGAUGGUAAGGUAACGGCUUACCAUGGCAACGAUGGGUAGGGGUCCUGAGAGGGAGAUCCCCCACACUGGUACUGAGACACGGACCAGACUCCUACGGGAGGCAGCAGUGAGGAAUAUUGGUCAAUGGGCGCAAGCCUGAACCAGCCAUGCCGCGUGCAGGAUGAAGCGUCUAUGGUGUGUAAACUGCUUUUGUACGGGAAGAAACAGCGAUUCGUGAAUCGCCUUGACGGUACCGUAAGAAUAAGGACCGGCUAACUCCGUGCCAGCAGCCGCGGUAAUACGGAGGGUCCAAGCGUUAUCCGGAAUCAUUGGGUUUAAAGGGUCCGUAGGCGGUUUGGUAAGUCAGUGGUGAAAUCUGGUCGCUCAACGAUCAAACGGCCAUUGAUACUGCCAGACUUGAAUUAUUGUGAAGUAACUAGAAUAUGUAGUGUAGCGGUGAAAUGCUUAGAGAUUACAUGGAAUACCAAUUGCGAAGGCAGGUUACUAACAAUGGAUUGACGCUGAUGGACGAAAGCGUGGGG
rnacentral:rRNA from 1 species